GAUCUGAGGAUCAUGAAAUCCAGCCCAAGCAGGACAAAGGUUGUUAGACUCUUCUCUCUCCAAUGACCUACCAAAGAGCCGGACGUGGCACUGUGGCUCAAAGCUGUAGAGCCGCUAGCCUUGAGUUCAAGGCUCAGGACCUGCAUUAAAAAAAAGAAAGGUUAGGGUGACAGAAGGCAGAGAGAAAUAGUUCACCAGUGAUAAAAAUGGAUUUCAGUGUCUUCCUGCCUCGCCAUUCACCAGCUGCCUUCAUGAAAUGCCUCCUAACAACCGGAAGCGGCCAAGCCCAGGGGCCGGGGAGCUGCUUCCUCACCUCAGGCCCCAGACCCUCCAGAUCUGCCCAGUCUUCUACCCCUCCUCACCAGCCUCCUUCUCCCCUUCCCUCUCAAAUGCCAAUCUGUGGGGGCCCUGGGGGGUGACUGAGCCCCAUUCCCCAUUCUCAGACCAAUUAAUUGCACUAUUGGGGUGCAGAAGAAUUGCCAAAGACUGGAAAAACCUGCUUGGGGAAAGGCUUUGGGCGUCUUAGAGGAGCAAGGUAAUACUUGAGAAAGUUCAAGGGCGGUGGGGGGGGAUGUUUGCCCAUUCCUGGCACCCUUCCCAACCCCCCCAAACAGCAACUCGCUCAAUAAUUCCCACUUUUAUACUUUCCUCCCCAGCCCAGGUUCCCUCAACUCACAAGCCACUUUGUAGGCUGUUUCAAAUACAGUGUAGGAAGGGGUGCCCAGGGACAUUUGCUGGGGAUACCUGUUGUUCCCCACAAAGACUUUUGAAAGCCAGGCACUGCCCAUGACGCAUGCCUGUAAUCCCAGUCAUUCAGGAUGCUGAGAUGUCAGGAUCCAGGUUCAAAGCUGGCCUGGGUAAGAAAGUCCA